GCCCAACCCGUCUGGUCAAGCAGCUGAGGGAGAACCAUAGUGAGGAGUGGUUGGACCGCCUGGCUGACUACUUUGGGGAAUGUGCUGCUUUUGUGGACCAGCCCAGCCUCUUCCCAGUGGCCUGCCAGGAGCCCCCGGAGCCUCUUGAUGUCCCCACCAGCCGAUGGCUCCUGUCUGUUUAUGGACGGGACAUCAUCACGCGAAUGGCUCAUAUCAAGGCCAGAAUAACCUCCACCUUUGGGUCCAUUUUAAAAAUGGACUCCACCAAGAAGAUCAUGAGGAAGCUGUCGGGGACAGCACGGGGGACUGCUCUGUGGCUGAGCUCUGUGAGCAAUGAGACCGGUCAGAUACUCAUCAGCGUCCUGACUGCUCAGGAGGGACCUGGUCUGGACCUGAUGGUCUCGGGUCUCAUGCGUCGCUACAGCCAGGCAGGUGUGGCCCCUCCAGUGCUGCUGUACGUGGACUGUGGCUGCUGUGUGGAGCAGGGUCAGAGCAAGCUCCAGGGCAGGUUCGGAGGGUGGCCAGACCUCUACAUCAGGCUGGACAUCUGGCAUUUCAUGCGGCGGCUGGCAGCAGGAUCCACCACUGACGCACAUCCCCUGUACCCCACUUUUAUGAGCCGACUGUCAGUCUGCAUCUUUGAGUGGGAUGCCGGGGAUGUGGCUCUUUUGCGUCAGUCCAAGAGGGAGCAGCUCAGACGGGAGGGUGUGCCUGUUAGCACCAAUGACAUGGUGGACAGGCACAUCACCAAGAACGACCUGGCUCUCUACUGCCGGAGGAGGACCCGCGGUGAGGUAGCCACCAUGCGCUGCAUUGACCACCUGCUGCAGGAGCUGAUGGGGGACAAGGGGAGAGACCUGCUCGGGGUGCCACCCCUGGACUGGGUCAGGAUGGAGCACAUCUGGCGCGUUCAGCAGAGGCACGUGAAGUGCAUCCAGGACGUGCCAGGUGUGCCUCUCUAUACGGAGAAGGGAACCACCACCACUAAGGACGGGGUGGUUUUGACCCAGUACAGGUGUGCCCGAGGCUCCACGUCCCUGGAGUCCUUCCACCUCCACCUGAACAGGUUCAUUCCAGGAACCAGUGCCAACAGCCUGUACUUCCAGCUGUAUCUCCUGGAAGGCCUGAACAGGUGGAAUCAGGACCGAGCUGCUGCAUCCCUCUCCACCAAACCCUCCUCACUGCUGAGCUACGCUGGGGACGUGGUUCAGUGUGUGAACGAAAACAGCAUGAAGGUGUUUGGCCGGAAAUAUGUGUCCUCUUUCCGCCCCCCUACCAAGUACACUGGAGAGCUGAUAGGCAUGGACUAUCUGCCACGUCAGACAGGGCAGCCUUUGCAGAGUGUGGACCCCGACACAGAGGAGACUGACCAUCUGCUGGAGGACCUGGCCGUGGACGGUGAGGAGGAGGAGGAAGAUGAAGGCUUUGAUGAAUUCACACUGGACUCCACAGUUGGUAGUCUUCUGGAUGACAUCUCCACCGUCUCCACCACCAGCUGUCCUGCUCCCUCUGCUUCCAGUCCUGCUCCCUCUUGUCCCCGGUCUGCUCCCUCUGCUUCCAGUCCUGCUCCCUCUGGUCACCAGCCUGCUCCCUCUGCUUCCAGUCCUGCUCCCUCUGGUCCCCAGCCUGCCACCUCCACCACUCCACAGCCUGCUUCCAGUCCACCAGCUGUCACACCUUAGGUGCCUGAAGAGCAAUGGGCCGUGGAUGAGCACAACAGGCCGGGCAUGGAUCGUGUGGAUAGCCUGGCUGAGUGUUUGGUGGAGCUGAGGAACCAGACCAGGCUGACCCUAAAAAACCAGCAGGUCAGCAACAUUGUGGGUCUGUGGGAGAACCUUGUGGACUAUGAUAAGCAGAGGGUGGUGUUGGCAUCCAGGCACCAGGACAGGCUUACCACAGGGAGGUU
ensembl:lncRNA